rnacentral:tRNA from 1 species
AGUUAAUUAACUAAAAUAUAGUACUAUAUCUUGAAAAUAUAAUAAAGAAAAAAAAUUUCUAUUAACUU